GUAGGACUACCCGCUGAACUUAAGCAUAUCAAUAAGCGGAGGAAAAGAAACUAACAAGGAUUCCCCUAUUAACUGCGAGUGAAGCGGGAAGAGCUCAAAUUUGUAAUCGCCUCGGCGAGUUGUAAACUAGAGAAGCGUUAUCAGGCCCCGACCGCGCUAAAGUCCCUUGGAACAGGGUGUCAUAGAGGGUGAGAAUCCCGUGCUUGGCGUGGCUGCGGGGCUGGCGAGGCGCUCUCGACGAGUCGAGUUGUUUGGGAAUGCAGCUCAAAACGGGUGGUAAACUCCAUCUAAAGCUAAAUAGUGGCGAGAGACCGAUAGCGAACAAGUACCGUGAGGGAAAGAUGAAAAGGACUUUGGAAAGAGAGUUAAACAGUACGUGAAAUUGCUGAAAGGGAAGCGCUUGGAGUAAGUCGCGCGUGCGGGAAUCAGCUUGCGUAUUUCCUGCACGCGGGCCAGCAUCGACCUCGGGCGGCGGAGAAGGGCUGGAGGAGUGUGGCAUCUUCGGGUGUGUUAUAGCCUCCUGCCGUACACGUCGCGCGGGGUCGAGGACCGCGGCUCUGCCUAGGAUGCUGGCGUAAUGGCUUCAAGCGACCCGUCUUGAAACACGGACC
rnacentral:rRNA from 1 species